AGAGUUUGAUCAUGGCUCAGGACGAACGCUGGCGGCGCGCUUAACACAUGCAAGUCGAGCGAGAACCAGCCCUUCGGGGCUGGGGACAGCGGCGAACGGGUGAGUAACACGUGAGUAAUCCACCCUCGGCACCGGGAUAGCCCGGGGAAACCCGGAUUAAUACCGGAUGGCCCAUUCGCCCUUCGGGGAUGAAUGGAAAAGGUAGCUUCGGCCUCUGGCCGAGGACGAGCUCGCGGCGGAUUAGCUUGUUGGCGGGGUAACGGCCCACCAAGGCGACGAUCCGUAGCUGGUCUGAGAGGACGAUCAGCCACACUGGGACUGAGACACGGCCCAGACUCCUACGGGAGGCAGCAGUGGGGAAUCUUGCGCAAUGGGCGAAAGCCUGACGCAGCGACGCCGCGUGAGGGAAGAAGGCCUUCGGGUUGUAAACCUCUUUCAGGAGGGACGAAGCCACUCGGGUGAAUAGCCCAGAGGGUGACGGUACCUCCAGAAGAAGCCCCGGCUAACUACGUGCCAGCAGCCGCGGUAAUAC
rnacentral:rRNA from 1 species